rnacentral:rRNA from 1 species
UGGGGAAUCUUCCGCAAUGGACGAAAGUCUGACGGAGCAACGCCGCGUGAGUGAAGAAGGUUUUCGGAUCGUAAAACUCUGUCUUUUGGGGCGAACGUGAGUAUGGUGAAACAAUCAUAGUCAGUGACGGUACCAAAGGAGGAAGCCACGGCUAACUACGUGCCAGCAGCCGCGGUAAUCGUAGGUGGCAAGCGUUGUCCGGAAUUAUUGGGCGUAAAGAGCGCGUAGGCGGGAUAGUCAGUCUGUUGUAAAGUGCGGGGCUCAACCCCGUGAUGGCAAUGGAAACAGCUAUUCUUGAGUGCAGGAGAGGAAAGUGGAAUUCCCAGUGUAGCGGUGAAAUGCGUAGAUAUUGGGAGGAACACCAGUGGCGAAGGCGACUUUCUGGACUGUGUC